rnacentral:rRNA from 1 species
CCAGAGAACUUAGCAGAGAUGGCUUUGGUGCCUUCGGGAACUCUGAGACAGGUGCUGCAUGGCUGUCGUCAGCUCGUGUUGUGAAAUGUUGGGUUAAGUCCCGCAACGAGCGCAACCCUUAUCCUUUGUUGCCAGCGGCUCGGCCGGGAACUCAAAGGAGACUGCCGGUGAUAAACCGGAGGAAGGUGGGGAUGACGUCAAGUCAUCAUGGCCCUUACGGCCAGGGCUACACACGUGCUACAAUGGCGCAUACAAAGAGAAGCGACCUCGCGAGAGCAAGCGGACCUCAUAAAGUGCGUCGUAGUCCGGAUUGGAGUCUGCAACUCGACUCCAUGAAGUCGGAAUCGCUAGUAAUCGUAGAUCAGAAUGCUACGGUGAAUACGUUCCCGGGCCUUGUACACACCGCCCGUCACACCAUGGGAGUGGGUUGCAAAAGAAGUAGGUAGCUUAACCUUCGGGAGGGCGCUUACCACUUUGUGAUUCAUGACUGGGGUGAAGUCGUAACAAGGUAAGCGUAGCGAG